UACGUAGGGUGCGAGCGUUAAUCGGAAUUACUGGGCGUAAAGUGUGCGCAGGCGGCCGCGCAAGUCGAGUGUGAAAGCCCCGGGCUUAACUUGGGAAUUGCGCUCGAAACUACGUGGCUAGAGUGUGGCAGAGGAAGGUGGAAUUCCAGGUGUAGCGGUGAAAUGCGUAGAGAUCUGGAGGAACACCGAUGGCGAAGGCAGCCUUCUGGGCCAACACUGACGCUCAUGCACGAAAGCGUGGGGAGCAAACAGG
rnacentral:rRNA from 1 species